rnacentral:lncRNA from 1 species
UUUUUUUUUUUAUUCCUGUGAUCUUUCUUUCCUGUUCUACAAAACUAGCAUUCCACAGAACACACUUUGGAGUGAUAACAUAGACAUGAGAAAACUGAAGAAUCUGCUGAGUAACAAGUUGGAUCAAGAUCUAUUUGAAUCUAAAACGAACAGGGGUUAAGUUCUUCAAGGGAAUGCUCAAAGAAUCCUGUACACUGAGAGUCAGGAGCUGAAUGUGGAAUUGGCAUCAUCUCCCAUAUCUCACACGGGGGAGGUGCUCUGAAGAGCGACGGCAGAAGGCUGAGAAUUACAGUGGGGGCACUGGACAUGUCAUUUGGAAGGAAGGAUGACACAAGAGUGAACAGAGGGAAUAAAGAAGAGAUCA